ACUGAGAACGUUUCAAAGAGAGGGGUAAGCUGAGUUCUACUCAUAAAAAAGAAGGGAAAUAUAGCUACCUUGUUGUUGCAGUUUUAUGAAGAGAUGGAUAUGAUGAAUAGCGGCAGAAACAAAAUCAGUUACAAGUCAUUGGUUGUGGUUCUUGUGUUCUGCUGUACCUUGAAAGCCGCCGAUAUCUCGGCGGCGUCAAGCAACAUGAUCUCCCAAGGACAAUCUAUUUCCGGCAACCAUACAAUCACCUCAUCACCACGCGGCAUAUUCGAGCUAGGUUUCUUCACUCCAGGUAACUCCAACAACUACUACAUAGGCAUCUGGUACAAAAAUGUACAGGAAACUGUCGUUUGGGUGGCCAACAGAAACCACCCUGUUUCCGAUCCUUUUUUAUCAUCCCUUCAACUCUUCCCAAACGGAACCUUAGCACUUUUCGACCAGUCCAAAUCUGCCAUUUGGUCAACAACUCGUGAUCUCUCAAUUGCUUCCAAUUCUACUAGUCAAGUAGCAGCAAUACUUCUUGACAGCGGCAACUUUGUCAUAACAGAUGCUUUGAAUUCGUCUGCUGUCAUAUGGCAGAGUUUCGAUCACCCGACGGACACUUGGCUGCCGGGCGGGAAGCUUGGAUACAACAAGCUGACCAAUGAGAAACUAACCCUCACUCCCUGGAGAAGCUCACAAAACCCAGCACCUGGGAUUUUCUCUCUAGACCUCGAACAAAACGGGACGAGUUUGUUGCUGAUGUAUAAUGGGACUAGAAUGUAUUGGACAACUGGUCCUUGGACAGGCAAGAUUUUUACGAAAGUUCCUGAAAUUCAGUUGAAUUAUUUGAUCACGAAUAUCAGCUAUGUUUCCAAUGAGCUGGGGAGUUAUUUUUCUUAUUUGAUUGCCCAACCACGUGCUAAAAGAGUUAUAAUUACAUUUGGACAACCUAUUGAACGUCCUUUAAAUCAACGAUCAAUUAUUAUGGAAGGAUACAAUUAUAUACAUAAAAUAUUGAAAGAGGACCGUCCAGAGGAUUUCCGAGAAAGGUAUAGAAUGUAUUCUGAUGUGUUUGUGAAGUUAUGCACUAUUAUUAGGGAAAAAAACACUCUUACGAGAUACAAAAUUCAUUUGCAUAGAAGAAAUGCUUGCAACAUUUUUGCUUAUUGUUGGACAUAAUAGUAGAUAUUGUCUACUACGUGAUACGUUUGGGCGAUCACAUUGGACUGUCAAUAGAAAAAUUUUAACAAAGUUUUUGAAGACCUUGAACACCAAUAGCACCGGAGAUGAUGGCCAAACAUGGAUUAGCAGUGCCAUCUAAAAUCAAGGAAAGUAUGAUAUUUUACCCUUACUUGAAGGUACGUAUAGUGUGUCCUUUUUUUAUUUUUUUAUUUUGUAUCUUUCUAAUUUAUUCCAAAUGAUAAACUUAACACUCUUGUAGGAUUGUAUUUGAAACUAUUGAUGGCACACAUAUCCCAACAUCAGUGUCCGGAUACGAUGUAAGCAAUUAUCUUAAUUGUAAGGGUGUCAUAUCACAAUAUGUAUUAGCUGCUUGUAACUUUGAUUUGGAAUUCAUGUAUGUCCUUAAUGGGUGGAAGGAUCGGCUCAUGAUUCAAGAGUACUAAAUGAUGCUUUUGACAAGAAGGAAUGGACUUAAAGUGUCACAAGGUAUCAAAUUAUUAUUUAUCAUUUUUAUUAUUAUUUAAUUUCACAUUAAUCCAUUGAGUUGCAUACUAAAAUAUAUAUUAUCAGGUAAAUAUUUUGUAGUAGAUUGUGGAUUUUCAAAUAGACGUAAGUUCUUAGCUCCUUAUCAAGGAAUCCAAUAUCAUCUCCAAGAGUAUAGUGGUUCGGGUCGUAAGCCUAGAAACGAAAAAGAGUUGUUCAAUCUUCGUCAUGCUUCUUUUAAGAAAUGUCAUCAAGAGGAUAUUUGGUAUUUAAAAUCAUGAUUCUUGAUUUUAAGGAUUGCACUUGCAUUUCCAUAUGCAACACAAGCGGAGGUAAUAUUAGUUUGUGCAGUUUAUGAAUCUUCUUCGUCUCCACCAUUGUCAGUUUAUGAAGGGGAUCUUGACCAAGAUUUUCAAACACAAGAACAACAACGAAAUAUUGCUAAUGAAUGGAGAUAUAAUAUAGCUUUGGACAUGUGGAGAGAUGCCCAUAAUGAUAACAAUGUGAAUGGAGGAUAAUGAGUCACAAAUAAUUCUUAGUGUGGUAGUGAUGAAUUUCUGAUGAUGUUCUUGUAAUGUUAGGUUUUGUGGUUGCGUUCGAGAAAGCAAAAAAAGAAAGAAGAAAAUAUUACUUGUAAUGAUGAAUUUCUGAUUAAUAUAAGGUUUUGUGGUUGUGUUUGAAACUUGGAAUUUGGAAUUUCAUCUAAUUGCUUAGCUACUAUGAUUACAUUAUUCUUCUGUGUAUUUGAGCUCAUGAUUGUGCUUGCUAACACUUCAAAUUUAUUGUUAAUGGAUCUCCUUUGAUUCAAAACGUUUAUGUUUCUGUGUGCAUUAUUUCAUUUUAUGUUAUAAGAUUGAACUAAUAAAUCCUAAGAAAUCCACGAAAGAAAUCCAUACAAAUCCAUAGAAAUCUAUAAUAGAAAUUCAUAUAAAUAUGUCGAAAUUCCAUAUAAAAAUUGAGAAUAUUUUAAAAUCCUUUAAAAUCUGUCACUUAAAAAAAGUCUAUUAAAAUCUUAUGAAAUCCAAAUCGACUACACCCUAUCCCUCUGCCUCAGAUUGUUGUUGAUUCUCAUCCCCAUCCUUACCGCAUUUGUGGACUUCAAGUCUAUGGUGGUUCUUUUCCUUGAUUGAUUGAGAAAUGACGUAGGUUGGCUCAAGUACGAAACUCAAAUCCCAUCUUCUACAUAUGUCUUGUCGAGGCUUGUUCUUUGCCUAUUCCUUACUUGUUUAUAAUGGUGGCAGCGGGUUCUUGUGAUAGAGGAGUAGUCAGGGUUUCUAGAGUUUGUUCUUUUGUUUUUUUUUUUUUUUUGAAGAAACUGGAAUCGAUUAACCAGGGCACAGAAGCCACAAGAACAACAGAAGCCUACCCAGAGGCAAACAGCAGAGGAAACCUGGUAAUGCAAGGGGAUGAGAGACACAGACGCAACAAAACAACAAACCAGCGUCCCCCCUCCCAUUACCAAGCAAACUCAGGGAGGACAAGGGAGUCCAUCAUUACAUAAAACAUGAACCAAGGAAGAUGGAGGCCUAUUGACCCAAGUAAAAUCACACAUCUCCCUAUUUCUUUGUUCUUUUGUUUUGGGCUUAAAUCCUUGUAUUGGCUCUUAAUUUGUUGCUUGGCUGGUUCACAUCUUUGAUUAUUACUUCACUUUGUAAAUGGACCAAUUGAUUUACCUUUGUUUACGACAAUAAAUUACCAUUUCCUUCUAACAAAAAAAAAAAAAAAAAAACAAAAACAAAAAAAAAAACAGUUUCUUCAAUUAUACCGAUUGAAACCUCUUACCCUCGAUCUGGUUUUUUUACCAUUCAAUAGCUACAUAACCCUUGUGGCUGCAAUCAUUGGAGUCUUCGUGACUAGAUUAUUGUUUUUGGUUGCAAUCUUUGUACCAUUGAGUGGGAAUUUGGGUGUGUUUUUUGAGUCCUAACUUAUAUAAUAAACACCAAAACAAAACGUAUAGUGCGUACCAACACCCAACUCCCAUGGUUGCUGUGUCGGCUUUGAUCUUAAAUGGUCUUGUCCUCCACCUGGGCUCAAACUUAAUGUGGAUGGAGCCUGGUGCAAGGAGAACUAAUCUGGGUGGUGUGGGGUUGAUAUUUCGGGAUGCAAAUGGAACUUGUGUGGCUGUUGCGAGUAGGAGAUUUGGGGAUAUCUUCUCUUCUAUUUACAUUGAAGCACUUGCAACUAGAGAGAGGGUCUUUUGAUGGUGUUCAAAAGGGAUUUACAAAACAUUUCGUUGGAAGGUCAUUCGCUUUAGAUCAUUUCUGCAUUAAAGGAGUCUUCUACGAAUAUGUCUACUACCGGACCUAUCAUUGAAUAUGCCAAAUCCUUAUUGUACUUGGUCAUUGAAGCUACUGCGUCCCAUGUUUCAUCAUCAAGUUGACUAUGUUGCCCAUAGGCUUGCUCGUUUUGCCCUCUAUGGAAGUGAUUGUACUUGGUUUGAUGAAACCCCCUCAUUGAUUUGUGAUUUAAUUGAGGAGUAUUGCUCCAUCCCUUGUACUGAGUAGCCUAUUCCUGAAUUUUUAAUGAAAUCCUAAUGUAUUUUAUCCACACAAAAAAAAAAAAAAUUAGGAUUCAUUUUCAACACAACAAUUUGAUAAGCUUGCUAGGGUUGAAAACAAAUAAGUGUUCAUACAAAUUUCACAUUCAUCAUCAUUAUUGUAAUUUAAUUCGCUAUUCAAUCAAGUGACUACUGACUUUUCAUGUUUCUGGGUCUAUCAACGCGUAUGACAACAAAUCUAUAGGAGCAUUAGAAAUCGUGGUUUCCUUGUGGCAUAUCCAACAACUGUCUCCUUAUCUUUCUCGUCCCGCCCAAGAAAAUCCAGUGCCUUCACAUUGACUAGUUACAACUUUUCAUGACUCACCAUCUUUCCAUGCAAGUUUUCAAAGAAGCUAAACAAAAAGUCUAUGAACUUUAGCCCAAUUAUAGCCUUAGUCUUUGUGCUAAAUAUAUGUAUGCAUGUAUUGAUCUUUGAACUUGUUAUAAUGUGAAGUAAUAGUCAUUUUUACUAAUUACGUUAAAAUUUUUCAUCCAAUUUUUGUCGUUUUAACCCUUUAUUUUGAAUGAAAGUUGUAACGGAGUUUUGCUAAAAGAAAUAUUGUUCCACAUUAUAACAAGUUCAGGAAUCAAUACUCACGAAAUUUUUAGUUCAGGAAACCAAAGCUCCAAUUGAGCUAAAGUUGAGGACCAUUGCUACAAUUACCUUGAGAUAGUUUGACAGCACGUCACAUUUUCUUGUGGUCUCCUAAACCCAGGUUAAAUCAACCAACAAAAGGGACGUACGCCGAGGGAAUCCCAUGUCAAGCACUCCAGGUAAAAUCUGUAACAAUAUAUAUGCAUUGGGCUAGCAUAUACAUGCCUAUUUGAGCCUUCUUCCAAACAACAACAUUUUUUUUGUCAAACGAUAAAUUUAGUUGAAAAUGACUUGUNUUUUAUUGAGUAAAUUUCUUUUUCUUUUAUAUUUUGUUGUCAAAUAUUAGGGUAAAUCCUAAUUCCUUGCGUUGAAACUCCAUGUGCAUAAAGGACCGUAGAUGCAUGGUUGUCUAAUGGUAAAAUACAACGAGGGCCGAGUUGUGUUUUGAUUAUUAACCCAUAAAUAGAAUUCGAAGAGAAGGAGAAGGAGGACUAAGAAUCAAAUUCUUGUUGAAGUUCUAUACUAAAUUUGUUGAGAUAGAAGUAAAAAUGAGGCAGAUACAAUAUGAGUUGUUUACUGACCUGAGAUCUAAACAAAAUAAAUUCGAAUGGUAUGGCCAAACACUGUAGGCGUGAGAGUUUUUUUUUUUUUUUUUAAACAAAAAAUUAUCAUGGCAAUUGUGAAUUACUUUGGUGGUUAGAAAAUUGCUAUUUUACUCUCUACAUUCCAAAUUCAAAAAACACUCUGAUUCCCUUACUAUAUAUAAGUGCAAAAUAUCGACUGUGACAAAACAAAUCGAUAUAAUUCACUUAAUACAAAUCCUUUUUCUUUUUCUUUUUUGUUGAGGAAAUCCUAUUUAAUUUUCGGAAAAAUUUUCACAUAAACUUCUUGUACUUGCGUCGAGUUGAUUAAAGCCAAGUACUUGCGUCGAGUUCAUUUCUUUUUGGCCAAAAUUAAGUCAAAUACUUCUUCAGCUUGGAAAGGUAUUUUGAGCUCUAUAGAUCUUCUUUUGAAAGGUUUGAUAUCAGGAACGAAGCCAAAAAUUUAACUAAGAGGGGGCACCUUAAAAAAUUUGAGCUCCUUUUUUAGACAAAUAAAGCUAGUUCUUUUACAAAUGUUGAAAAAAUUAAUUACAAAAUGCCUAAUUUUAUUACUCUAUUGUCUAAAUUUUUUUUUAAUUGUUGACAAUCUAAUGCUCAUUUGUACUAAUUAACCAAAUACAUGCAACUCAACAAGGUUUAAACAUUAGUGGGUCAAAAAAAUAUCCAAGACAGAGUGGCAUUUAAAAACUAAAAGAGGAUUUUCAUUAUUUUAAUAUGAUUAAUUGAAUAAUCUACAAAGCAUAAAAAAUGGGAAUGAUUAAUUGAAUAAUUUGUAAUGAAAAAAAAAAAAAAGGAUGAGAGGGGGCAUGUGCCCCCACUGGGCCUUACCUCCAUCCGUCCAUGUUUGAAUGGUUUGUUGGCAACGGCAAAGAUAUUUUAUUUGGGUCUUUUAAUUAUGUUUUCCCAAUCUUUCUUUGAGAAAUGCUAAGAAAACUCUCAAAGUGGGACAUUGUCCGUUAACCCAUCUUUUUGGCACAAUAUUUUAUAAUGUUGUUACGAGAAUUAUGUAAAAAGAUAAGGUGGUCGAGAGUCCAUGGAGAGUCACACGUUUAAAAGUCUCCUUAGCAUUUCUCUUCUUUCUUUGAGAAAUUUUAAGGAGACUCUCCAAUCUCUAUGAAUUCUCGAUCAUCUCAUAUUUUAGCACAAUUUUUAUAUCAAUAUUAUAAAAUAUUGUGUCAAAAACAUGGGGUGUCAGAGAUUCCAUGGUGAAUCCCACUUUGAGAACCUCCAUAGCAUUUCCCUCUUUCUAAUUUAUUAACUGAUACUCAACGUUAAAGUAUUAAAUGGUCUCUUACCGUGAAUCAAGUAAUUAGCAACGGUUGUUUUUUCGAACAAGCAUUAAUUGGCCUAUUACCGUGAAUCAAGUAUUAAUUGGUCUCUUACCAUGAAUCAAGUAAUUAGCAAUGUUUGUUGGAAUAAGGAAAUUUUGCAGGGUCUGCUUCCCAUGGUUAUUGUCAAAAGAAUGGGGAGGGGGAAUCAAUCACCACCCUUCAUCCUGGACUGUAGCCUAACAUUGUCUUUGAAAAACCGUUGACCUCCUAACUAGUCCAUAAUGCAUCACGGUACACGUCAUAUGCCCUGAGCAAUUCCUACCAAAACACUUUGUGUGGUUUGAUUCUAGAAUGAGACUCCUUCUAGAAUUUGUCCUUGUAAUUAGAAUUGUUAAUAUUAUAAAUUAUUAUAUAAAAAGGUGAAAUAUAAAAAGAAAAAUAUGAUAGUUUUUUAUCAUCGAACAAUAUAAAUUCAUAUAAGUGAAAAUCAAUAAAAAAAUUACAAUUGUUAUUUAUUUUUUAUUCUUGAUUGAUUAAGGGACCUUAGUGUUAACUAAUUUUGCAAAAUAUAUCAUCGAACGAUAUAAAUUCAUAUAAUAUGAAUAAUUUCGUUUAUAAAAAAUAAAAUUUUGUAAAUUAAUCACAAAAUAAUUUCGUUUAUAAAAAUAAAAUGAAUAGUACCAGGAUUGACUUUUUAGUGUAAAAAUAUGAUUUUUCGUUAAAGUGAACAGUAUCGGAUGCUUUUCGUUAAAGUUCCCAUUUCUUAAAGGGCAAAGCAUUCCUCAUAUUUUAGCUCCUCUUUGUUGGUAAAUAUAGAAUACGGACACGCAUACACUGAGAACGUUUCAAAGAGAGGGGUAAGCUGAGUUCUACUCAUAAAAAAGAAGGGAAAUAUAGCUACCUUGUUGUUGCAGUUUUAUGAAGAGAUGGAUAUGAUGAAUAGCGGCAGAAACAAAAUCAGUUACAAGUCAUUGGUUGUGGUUCUUGUGUUCUGCUGUACCUUGAAAGCCGCCGAUAUCUCGGCGGCGUCAAGCAACAUGAUCUCCCAAGGACAAUCUAUUUCCGGCAACCAUACAAUCACCUCAUCACCACGCGGCAUAUUCGAGCUAGGUUUCUUCACUCCAGGUAACUCCA
rnacentral:lncRNA from 1 species